GACGAACGCUGGCGGCGUGCUUAACACAUGCAAGUCGAACGGUAAGGCCCUUCGGGGUACACGAGUGGCGAACGGGUGAGUAACACGUGGGUGAUCUGCCCUGCACUUCGGGAUAAGCCUGGGAAACUGGGCCUAAUACCGGAUAGGACCACUGCCUGCAUGGGUGGUGGUGGAAAGCUUUUGCGGUGUGGGAUGGGCCCGCGGCCUAUCAGCUUGUUGGUGGGGUGAUGGCCUACCAAGGCGACGACGGGUAGCCGGCCUGAGAGGGUGACCGGCCACACUGGGACUGAGAUACGGCCCAGACUCCUACGGGGGGCAGCAGUGGGGAAUAUUGCACAAUGGGCGCAAGCCUGAUGCAGCGACGCCGCGUGAGGGAUGACGGCCUUCGGGUUGUAAACCUCUUUCAGCACCGACGAAGCGCAAGUGACGGUAGGUGCAGAAGAAGGACCGGCCAACUACGUGCCAGCCGCCGCGGUAA
rnacentral:rRNA from 1 species